rnacentral:rRNA from 1 species
UGGGGAAUUUUCCGCAAUGGGCGAAAGCCUGACGGAGCAACGCCGCGUGAGGGAUGAAGGCCUCCGGGCUGUAAACCUCUUUUAUCAAGGAAGAAGAUCUGACGGUACUUGAUGAAUAAGCCACGGCUAAUUCCGUGCCAGCAGCCGCGGUAAUACGGGAGUGGCAAGCGUUAUCCGGAAUUAUUGGGCGUAAAGCGUCCGCAGGCGGCCCUUCAAGUCUGCUGUUAAAAAGUGGAGCUUAACUCCAUCAUGGCAGUGGAAACUGAGGGGCUUGAGUGUGGUAGGGGCAGAGGGAAUUCCCGGUGUAGCGGUGAAAUGCGUAGAUAUCGGGAAGAACACCAGUGGCGAAGGCGCUCUGCUGGGCCAUCACUGACGCUCAUGGACGAAAGCCAGGGGAGCGAAAGGGAUUAGAUACCCCUGUAGUC